rnacentral:tRNA from 2 species
AGAAAUUUAGGUUAACCAUUAAACCAAGGGCCUUCAAAGCCCUAAAUACGAGCCAAUCCCCUCAUAAUUUCUG